UUGUAAAAGGUGACUUUCCGGGCAGUGUGUUUGCAUUGCUCCAAAGGGCAAUAUAAAAUUUAUAACAUCCUAAUUUCCAGGAGAUGAAAUGGGGAAGUCAUACAAGUGACGGUUUGGAAAAGAGGAACAUAGAGAAUAUUUUCUACCUAUGUAUCAUGCAAUAUAGAUUACAGGAAUAGGACAAAAGAAAACUAAAACAUUAAGAAACUUGGAAUUACAAUUUUAAUUCUUCUUUGACACUGAUUGGUUGAGCACCUGUCCAGAGUAUUCACAAAACCACCUACGAUAGACACCAGUUUAGUGACCCUGGAAAAUGGGAUGGAUUAUUUUAACAUAUGUACUUAGGCGCCUCAGUAGCAAAGGAACAACAUAAUUCACAAAAUUCCCAGUGCUGCAUUGUCAAAGGACAGAAAAAGAAAAAACAAAAAGGGAUCAAGAACCAAGCCUAGACCACAACAACUCAGUCACACUGUCGCAAAGUUGGACGUGAACUCUCACAAGUCAGGUAAGUGAAUAUCAGAUUCCUUGUACAUAAAUGUUUUGGUCCCAUUGCGCUAAAGCAAAUGAACAAUGACUUAAUAUGUAAGACAGUUUUACAUUGUUUUAAUCACGCCACCAUUUUCAUCCUAGAAGAAAAGUGCAAAUGAGGCCUCACGUGUUUUAUGUUCGACAAGCCAUUCGUAAGAGCAAGCACCUAAGUGCAAAUAUGCAUGCAUAAUUUUUUUGAUUGAUUGACUGAUUUAUUAUAAUUUCUUCACAGGAGCAUUGAGCGCUACAUCCCACACUUCCUUUCCUUUCUCUCGAAACUUGAGGUGUGAUUUUUGUGGACGUGCAUUGUUCCCGCGUUCAUUAUGCUGCGGCGUAGAAAGCGUGGGAUGCCAGGCAGCCGUCUACCCCCCACUUGACAGUUAAUUCAUUAGCAGGCCUGCUAACAGGUGAGCUGACAGAUUGACAACCGCCUUGACAUUAAUGUAUGACCCCUUUUGAAUGUUCCCAAUUUUACUUUUAAGCACUUUCCCCCCAUUAACAUGAGACUAGAGAGAAGAAUGGGAUCAAGUCUAGAAGCUUGAGGAUUGAGCAGCCAGGAGCUGGUGGUCCGUAUGCAGCCUGUAAGGUUGCACAGAUGGCGUAGCGCUUCUCUUGUCCGACUUCCAGCAUGUGAAUAAAUGCUUUCUUUACACAGUGCAAAAGUGAGACACCUGACAUUCCAAAGAUGCAGCUUGAGGCCGGCGUUCCUUCUUGUUGAUCUCAGUACGAUGAUGGUAUCCUUUCUGACCAGCAUGGGCCACAUAGAAGGCAGGAUGCCAGGCUGCACUUUUGUUGUCUUGGCUGUAAGGUGAGUCAGCGUGUUAGGUAUGAGAUGUGCCGUGAUCUGCCUUGCUUGCCACGCAUUUGCCCACGCUGGUGAGAUUUGGUGGAUGUAGAGCAGAUAAACGCCCACGCGCACGCACGCACAAACGCAUUAUCUGGAAUUUAGCACGCCAAGUGAUGUUUAUAUAGUCACCGCAACGUUUGUGCGUCAUCAACGUAGCACACUCACUAAGUGAACGGGUCGAUUAUUUAGAUAGGGAUGUGGUCAACCAUGUUUAUUAUUUUUAUCACACACACACCUUUUUUUCUCCCUUUGAAUCAUUUUAAGAACAGGGGGAGGAAGUGGCUUGACUUCUAAACCAUGAAUUGACACUCCAUAAACAAGGAAAAUGUAUUCUUAAGAAAAUUCUGUAAACAUUUUUAAUAGUUUAUAUUUAGAAAAUUACACUGAUUACAUUUUUAA